CCCUUAGAUGUUCUGGGCAGCGCGCGCGCUACAAUGGUCUUCGCAAACGGAUGCAUUCUCGAAGGAGAAUGCCAAUCUUGGAAUCUAUGCCUUGGUCGGGACAGUUGCUUGCAAUUUUUCGACUCGAACCAGGAAUUCCUUGUAAUCGUGAUUCAUCACAUCACGAUGAAUACGUCCCUGCCCUUUGUACACACCGCCCGUCGCUCCUACCGAUCGAAGAGUUAGGUGAAUUGUUUUGAUCGAUAAGAUUUGACUAUGGUCAACUCUCGUUGUGAAAUUCUGUGAAUCUGACUGUUUAGAGGAAGGAAAAGUCGUAACA
rnacentral:rRNA from 1 species